UUGGACAGCUGCACAUCAAGCCUACUGUGAUUCAGCUGAGGGGUGCAUGCAGCGAAGGAGGCCUCUAACAUCACAGUGACUGGCUUUGUGUAUCCAUCUGCCUGGGGAUCCAGACCUGGGUGUUCUACCUGGACCUUCAUACUGCUGCACUGGUGAGCAAGAUGAGGCUUAAAUAAAGCAUACUAUUCAAUUUGUGGUGACCUCUGAGAACCCCAAAUCUGCCAUGAAUCCCUGCACCACACAAUACCUGUGACACCUGUGCCAAGGUGAGGUCCAGUAGCUACCAAACCUACUUCUGAGCUGCAUAUUAGAGUGAAGCCUUCCUCCCUACCCUCC
rnacentral:lncRNA from 1 species